rnacentral:rRNA from 1 species
UACGGGGGGGGCAAGCGUUGUUCGGAAUUACUGGGCGUAAAGGGCUCGUAGGUGGCCAACUAAGUCAGACGUGAAAUCCCUCGGCUUAACCGGGGAACUGCGUCUGAUACUGGAUGGCUUGAGUUUGGGAGAGGGAUGCGGAAUUCCAGGUGUAGCGGUGAAAUGCGUAGAUAUCUGGAGGAACACCGGUGGCGAAGGCGGCAUCCGUGGACCAAC